GUAUUAUUAGCUUAAUUGGUAGAGCAUUCGUUUUGUAAUCGAAAGGUUAUGGGUUCGAUUCCUAUAUAGUACA
rfam:Hanseniaspora osmophila strain AWRI3579 Hanseniaspora_osmophila_AWRI3579_scaffold288, whole genome shotgun sequence.